rnacentral:rRNA from 1 species
AGUGAACGCUGGCGGUAGGCCUAACACAUGCAAGUCGAACGGCAGCACAGUAAGAGCUUGCUCUUACGGGUGGCGAGUGGCGGACGGGUGAGGAAUACAUCGGAAUCUACUUUUUCGUGGGUGAUAACGUAGGGAAACUUACGCUAAUACCGCAUACGACCUACGGGUGAAAGCAGGGGAUCUUCGGACCUUGCGCGUUUGAAUGAGCCGAUUUCGGAUUAGCUAGUUGGCGGGGUAAAGGCCCACCAAGGCGACGAUCCGUAGCUGGUCUGAGAGGAUGAUCAGCCACACUGGAACUGAGACACGGUCCAGACUCCUACGGGAGGCAGCAGUGGGGAAUAUUGGACAAUGGGCGCAAGCCUGAUCCAGCCAUACCGCGUGGGUGAAGAAGGCCUUCGGGUUGUAAAGCCCUUUUGUUGGGAAAGAAAAGCAGCAGGUUAAUACCCCGCUGUUCUGACGGUACCCAAAGAAUAAGCACCGGCUAACUUCGUG